rnacentral:rRNA from 1 species
GACGUAGGGCGCGAGCGUUGUCCGGAUUUAUUGGGCGUAAAGAGCUCGUAGGCGGCUUGUCGCGUCGACUGUGAAAACCUGGGGCUCAACCCACGGCUUGCAUCGAUACGGGCAGGCUAGAGUUCGGUAGGGGGAGACUGGAAUUCCUGGUGUAGCGGUGAAAUGCGCAGAUAUCAGGAGGAACACCGAUGGCGAAGGCAGGUCUCUGGGCCGAUACUGACGCUGAGGAGCGAAAGCGUGGGGAGCGAACAGG